AUUUAUGGACUCUAUUUUAAAAAAUUUAAAGUUUAUUUUCAAGUGCGUAAAUAAAAUCCUCUCCGCUGCGCUCCGUUCUGUCUG